UACGUAGGGGGCAAGCGUUGUCCGGAUUUAUUGGGCGUAAAGAGCGUGUAGGCGGCCAUACAGGUCAGCUGUGAAAACUCGAGGCUCAACCUCGAGACGUCGGUUGAAACCGUAUGGCUAGAGUCCGGAAGAGGAGAGUGGAAUUCCCGGUGUAGCGGUGAAAUGCGCAGAUAUCGGGAAGAACACCCGUGGCGAAGGCGGCUCUCUGGGACGGUACUGACGCUGAUGCGCGAAAGCGUGGGGAGCAAACAGG
rnacentral:rRNA from 1 species